ACUGAAGGUUGUAGAACAUCUGUAGGUACCGCUGUUUGGCCUGUCUCUCCUCCUUGUUGAGAGUCCUCCAGAAGCCGUACAUUGAUCCCAUGUUCAGAACUUUAGUUGCAUAAAUCUGCCAUGUGUAACUACAAUCAUAGAGAAGGCAUAGUUCAAUUAAUCUGUGAACAAAAAACAUAUUGUGUCCAUAAGUGCAUUUGAUUGUAUGAAUAUAGGUUCUAGAGAGAGCCGUGUGUAAUUGUACCACUCAUAGAUGCGCUGGAGUCCAGCAGUGGACAUUUUGUUCCAGUAGAUGGGAUCCUCCUUGCAUUUCUGAAAGAAGCCUGCAAUCUUGUCACUCGCCUCCUGUCCGUUGAGUGGAUUGAUAUGGAAGCCUGAUACCUCGUCGACAAUGAUUUCUGCAGGUCCUCCUUGAUUUGUUGCGAAGGUUGGUAGCCCACAGUUCAUUGCCUCGAUGACGGUUAGUCCAAAUGCCUCGUACAGUGCAGGCUGAAAGACGCACAGUUCAGUCACAUAGCCAGUGAUUGAAUUUCAUACUUGAUGUAUCAGGAACACAAGCGUAUAUAACUCUUAAGCUGCCAGUGUACCUGAACGAAGGCCCCCCUGGUAUCUGCAAUGCAACGGUAGAGCUCCCCGUUGCGCACACGUUCAGUCUGUGCUUUUAUCCAACGGAUCUGUCCCUUGAGCUGGUACUUGCUUAUCAAGCUGUGCAUCUUGUUUAUCUCCUCGAUCUCUUCCCUGUCCUUUGACUGUGAAGGUUCCAGGAGCCCCCCAACAAUGACCAGGUUGACAAGAUCCCUGAGUUUCUUGUUCUGACCAUACCAUUCGACCAGCCCGGUGAUGUUCUUCACCUUAUCGAGCCUUGCCAUCGAGAAGAUGGUUGGCUUGCUCCUGUCCUCUAGGUACCCUCUGAUUUGAUCAUAUCAGAGUUCACAGUUUUUAGCAAUUAAUACCAUCAAUUAAGAAUUAAAAUCUUUUGCAAGGAAUAUAUACUUACAUGUGCUCAUCAUUGUCCUCCUUGCUGUAGAGUAGCUCCUCUAUUUGGGGGUGCAAAUCUGUCAGCCGCUUCUCCUUUUCUGUGAAGGGGAAGUAAACAGAUUGAUCGGCACCAGGGGCAGCAAUGUUGAACUUGGGAUCAAAGACGUUGAUGCCUGUGGCGUAGCGACAUAGUCCUGGCAUCGUGAACGCGUAGUGACUCUCGUACUGGCCAGGCUUCUCUUUGCUGAAUUUUAUCAGUGAAUUGUUGGAUCAGCAGUAUGCGAUGUGACACGUUGGGCAAGAUGAUUUUAGUUUACAGACUGACUGACCUUCCAGCUAUUUCUUGGUAGGUGCUAGCAAUGAUGAAGUCGCUAGUGUUCAUGGCGAUCAUGUCAGCAGUGAAUUGGCAGGAGAAAUGAUAUUUCUGGUCCAUUUCUCUCCACUUGACAUCUGAAUCCUCGUACUUUGUCUUCUCAAGAGCAUGCGCAAUUGUUCCCUGUUGAUUGAUAAGAUGAUUUGUUGUAGUGUCAAGUUUGGUUGGGAGCAGAAUAACAUCUUACAGUGCUCUGUUUUGAUGGUUCAUUUUCACCUGGGUGACUCCUAGUUUGCUUGACAAGAGGGAUGCUACUAAAUUGCCGUCAGUAUAAUUGCCGAUAACCAAGUCUGGUUUUCCCUCCAGUAUGUCAAGAAUCUUGACCGAAGAAUCCUGAAAUCACCGUGGUAAGGAUAAAUGUCAAACCGGGAAACCCAUUGGCGAAGAUCUUUCCCAUCAUCAGUCUUGAAUGGUACGCGGAGGAUGCUUGAGUGCUUUGUGUGUUCUACCGGUUCAAGCUCGACGUUGCACUUGGUGCCCUUUGCUUCUGGUAUAAGUCUUGUUAACUGCAACAUGAUCGUCAGAUGCUCCAUUCCAGGAUCGUCAGUUUAGUAGGCCAUGCUAGUUUAAUGAAGACGGUCGAAGUUUACCACGAGAAUCUUCGGAGUAAUAUUCAGGCCCUGCUGCUUGAUUCUUUGCAACAAUUCCUCUUCUAGAGCUCUAACUUGGUCCAGGAUGUAAACUACCUGUCGAGAAAAUUACGACCCGUUGGCUUCUUUCUCAAGCAUGAAUAAUUGUGGAUUCGGGAUUCUGUAUCUGCCAGUGUAAGCUAAUGAUCGCUGUACCUGACCGCCAGUAUCCGGCAACCCAAGGACCUUCUCCUGACCAAAGUAACCAUGGAUGGAGAAGAUCACAAUGUUGAAAACCGACGGCACCCUGCUGAAGAACUUCUCCAUGUUGACAGGAUCUGGUGCCUGGAGCACUUCAGAUAUGCAGUUGAGUGUCUCUCUGCACGUUUUGGCGGUGUCACCCCAUCCUUUCUCCAAUCCCCACUCCUGAAACCUGCAAUGGCCAGCGAACAUAUCGAUCAGGCCGGCGAGGAAGACCUCUGCGAGAAGCAACGCUGUCUGAAGCUUGUCAGCGGUAUCUAGGGUUUCACUGAUCAUCAGUUUCUGCAUGACAGGGAGGAAAGAUGAAGCUCAUUUUAGCUAGCAAAUCUACCAUCAAGCUUAGCGAAUGGAUGGUCAGUUUGAUAUGCUUACCUCACCACGGUAGUUCAGCGCGAGUAGGUAGUCCAGCAACGGCUUCAUGUUCUCCGUCUUGCCGCUCAGUUUCGAAGACAUGAACCGGGAGACAAACUGCGUCCCGUUCCCGAUGGACGAUGGCAGCGUGAGAUGCGGUGUCGAGAGGUCCAGCGCGCCGAAAUCGACUUCGAGCGAGUUGUCAUCACGUGCCCUGGAGAAAACAGCAGGUGGGUCUGGGUUAAAUUUUGUUCAGGCUACGUGCAGUGGCAGGUUUGUGUGUGUAAUGCAGUACCAUUUGUCAUCAAAGAGGGUCUCCUUGCACUUGAGGUAAUCCGCUGGGGUGACCUGCUCCACCGAAAGGUCUCCGGAGUGCACCUUGAUGUACUCCCAGACACCGGGAUUUGUCCUGACGGCGAAGGCAACGAAAGGCGGGAGCACAACAGCAUCCUGCGUGGAGCAGAUCACGUAGCCGAGGAAGCCCUCAGCGAGCUUGGCCUUCUCGAGCUUGUCAUUGUCCGCCGACCUCUCGAGCUCCUCCACCAGCUGCCGGUUCUUCAUCAGCCUCCUGCCCUUGGAGACGUACCUGCAGACAGAUCGCCGAGAAGCAUUUGAUCGAUCACCAUGAGUGCUUAUGUAGACUUCAGAGAAAGAAAUGAAGAGGAAGGGGUAGGAGGGUGGGAAUGAUUAUUUGUGGUACCUUUGGAAGCACCUCUUCAUCUGGUAGCGGCUCUGUCGCAGCGCCUCCGGCAUCAUGUCGGCAACGCUGUCGGACCUCCUUAGGACGCCGCCGGGCAUGGAGGAGGCCAUGGCUGAGUUGCGAGUGGAUGCCUGGAUGGUGUAGCUUGAUGGUGGUGUUGAGCAAUGAUCCUCAAGGUAGCAAUUUAUAGGCUGGGUAGAGAAGGAAAGGGCACGAAGAUGGAGAUGGAAGCAAGUUAAUUAUGCUCUCUGUGCGCGUGUCUCUGUCAAUGUCUCUUUCCUAACAAGAGGAAGAUGGAAGGAGAGGAGAGGAAGCAAAGGAAGGAAGAAUUAUGGGAGGCAAGCAAGGCAUUUUUGUUUCCCUUAUAUUAAUUAAUUUACACCACCUUCUGCAUCAUCAUCAUAAUCCCCAUGUAUUAUUAUUC